rnacentral:rRNA from 1 species
AGAGUUUGAUCCUGGCUCAGGACGAACGCUGGCGGUGUGCUUCACACAUGCAAGUCGAACGAGGUAGCAAUACCUAGUGGCGGACGGGUGAGUAACACGUGGGAAUCUUCCUUUGGGUGGGGGAUAGCAGGCCGAAAGGCCUAUUAAUACCGACUAUAUGUGCAUAUUUCGACAGAGGUAUGCAUGAAAGCAGUAAUGCGCCCGAAGAUGAGCCCGCGCCCGAUUAGCUAGUUGGUAGUGUAACGGACUACCAAGGCUACGAUCGGUAGGUGGUCUGAGAGGAUGAUCACCCACAAUGGGACUGAGACACGGCCCAUACUCCUACGGGAGGCAGCAGUGGGGAAUUUUACGCAAUGGGGGAAACCCUGACGUAGCGACACCGCGUGAGCGAUGAAGCCCCUUGGGGUGUAAAGCUCUGUCGGCUGGGACGAAAAAAAUGACGGUACCAGCAAAGGAAGCAUCGGCUAACUACGUGCCAGCAGCCGCGGUAAGACGUAGGAUGCAAGCGCUGUCCGGAUUCAUUGGGCGUAAAGCGUUCGUAGGUGGUUUAGUAAGACAGGCGUGAAAUCCCCGGGCUCAACCUGGGAACUGCGCUUGUGACUGCUAAGCUAGAGUACGGCAGAGGGGGAUGGAAUUCCACGUGUAGCGGUGAAAUGCGUAGA